AGUGAACGCUGGCGGUAGGCCUAACACAUGCAAGUCGAACGGCAGCACAGUAAGAGCUUGCUCUUACGGGUGGCGAGUGGCGGACGGGUGAGGAAUACAUCGGAAUCUACUUUUUCGUGGGGGAUAACGUAGGGAAACUUACGCUAAUACCGCAUACGACCUACGGGUGAAAGCAGGGGAUCUUCGGACCUUGCGCGAUUGAAUGAGCCGAUGUCGGAUUAGCUAGUUGGCGGGGUAAAGGCCCACCAAGGCGACGAUCCGUAGCUGGCCUGAGAGGAUGAUCAGCCACACUGGACCUGAGACACGUCCCAGACCCCUACGGGAGGCAGCGGUGGGGAAUAUUGGACAAUGGGCGCAAGCCUGAUCCAGCCAUACCGCGUGGGUGAAGAAGGCCUUCGGGUUGUAAAGCCUUUUUGUUGGGAAAGAAAAGCAGCAGGUUAAUACCCCGCUGUUCUGACGGUACCCAAAGAAUAAGCACCGGCUACCUUCGU
rnacentral:rRNA from 1 species